CUGUACUAACCGGGACGGUAGCGGUGUCCUGAACCUGCAAUCCGCUAUAGCAGGGGUGAAUGCCCGUUUGAGUUUUAUAUUUACACGGUCUGCAGUGUUAUCUGAAGUGUUGAGGACCGGGUCUUGCGCAAUUGCAAUUUGUGAACCUUGUCAGGCGGGGAACCGAGCAGCAAUAAACAAAAUCUGCAGUGUGCCGCGAGGUAGCCUGAUCUGAGUGGACGGUAAUGCUACGCGUGUGGAUAUACUGCGAUUUCGGGCUGUAUAG
rnacentral:SRP_RNA from 1 species